AAAUAUCAAAAGGGGAGCUGGAUUAAUCUGGCUGAGAGGGAGUUGUGUUACUCCGACCCUAGAACCUGAUCUGGGUAAUGCCAGCGUAGGAAGUAUAGAAAUUGUAAUGA
rnacentral:ncRNA from 2 species